rnacentral:misc_RNA from 1 species
AUAAUGAUAGAGAAGAGGAGGAGAAUAAUGGGUUAGGAACGCAGACAUUGAAUUGGAUGCCUAGCAGCAGCAACAGAGUUGGCAGCCGUGGCAGUACGUGGGAAGGAAGCAGUGGUAGAGGUGCUGGAUCACGACAUCGGCAUCAGCAUCAGCAUCAGCAUCAAUCAGGCAGUGGAGUUUAUCAUGGCAGAAGAAGGUAACUGACAGCAGAAGGAAGUACGUUGACAUGUUGGCACUUUCGUCCCAAUGGUAGUGUAACCCGUUACAGAUGAAAACGGGUCUUGGACUCAAAUUCAUGGCACCCAAGUUCCCACUCAGUGAUUGAAUAGCUGCAUUUACCCAUUGAGGUCUGUAGUGAGGCGAUACAUUACUCCCACUACAGAUGCCCAAACUAGUGAUGCAUAAGUUAUGUCAAUGCAAGGAUUAUUGACAAGGUUAGUGUCCGGAAUUUUGUUUGUUGGAGGAAGGUAGUGGUUAUGCUGAAUACAUACUAUACAGAAGAUUGUCACCCAUGAUUUGCACGAUGGUGAUUCCUAAAUAUGCUCAGUAGGGUGCUUAUAG